UUCAGUCACUAGAGCAGCAACUUGCUCUACAGUAGUAGCCUCAUCGAUCACUAACUUCGAAUCCAUGAAAAAAGUGAUACGCAAGGAAGCCCCACACGAUACCGAAUUGCUCCUAAACUGCACUUCACUAAUUAGCUUACGUGUUUCAGUCAUCAGUGUAAUCCUUAGACUCAAGAGGAGACCUGUAAAUUGAAGUAUUAGUCAAAAUAUCAUCAUGAGGUAUUCAACAUCAACAUCAGGGUUGUAUUCCAAAUCUCUAUCUUCAUCUAAAUUCUGCUUCUCUUCAUCUAUCUUCUCGGUCAUUUUUUUUUAAUUAUCUGGAAUCAUUAUCAAGGGAGUCACGGGGAGACUUCCUCUUGUUUCCGCUGGCAGUCUUGUUUCCCAGACCAAUAACUUCAUCGUCGCUGUGAGUCAUCCUAGAACAAAACGAGAAUUAGUUAAAGAAUCCUCACUUAAUAAGCAAAGUUAACUCCCUCCAAAAUCAGCAAACAUUCAACCAAAAUUCACACAUAAAAGAUAUUUUCGUUUUAAAUCUAGAUCUAACUUCAUGCAUAUAAACCAAAAACAUUAGAAAAUUCUUCUAAUAAUCUUUCUUUCCUUAAAAACAAAGCACACAUAAUACUGAACUGGAGCUUAAAGUGUUGUUUUGCACAGAAGACUUUCAGGUAAUUCAAACUUUUUGUAUCCCUAAUUCCAAUUUUCCAAAUACAGUGGAUAAUCGUAGCAUUUGAUUGGCUAAUAACAUCAUCACACGGAUUGCCUUUCGUUGAUCAGCCAAAUGUUUUGAUUUCAAAUUCUAAACAAAACUCAUUAGCGGGAAUUUUCCCGCAAAAAUUUUCAAAUGAGUUUUAAACUUUUAAUCUUCUUCAAAAAAAAUUUCGAAUUUAUCAUUUCUCUCUCUCUUUCCUCAAUUUGUUUCUCUCUCAAUUCAAUCUCACGACCAUUCACGAUUAGAGAAAAUACAGAAGCAAAAUGGAAGACUGGAAAAGGCGUGAGUUGAAGAAGAGGGCAAAGGGAAAGGUCUGCGAGUUUGACGGUGUUGUAGUUGGUUGGUAUGCAUGUUGAGGUUGGUGAACGAAUCUUUCUGUGGGAGAGGAGGCUGAGACCCUGCAGCAGCAGCGGGUUUUGCCUUCGGAGUCGUGUUUAACCGAAGCACAACGCUGUGUUUGCUUUUGAUUUUACCUGCUUAGUGUUUCGGUGGAAUAGCUGCUGCAUUUUCAAACUUUGGUUCGGGUUGUGGAUCUCUUGGUAAUGUGAAGGGUCGAAGACACUGUUGCUGUUGUUGCUUGAGCUUUGAGAAGAAGUUCUUCAUCGCUCAAGGUCUCUAAAGAUGGUUUUGCACAUAUACCAAGAAGUUGCAGCUUAAAGUGUUGUCGUAAAUGAUUCUGUAAUACAUGGGUAAAAACAGAUUGCAAAUCUUUUGGAUUGUACUUCAUGGUCAGGGGCUGGACCAGGGCUAAUGGAAGAUGUUACUCAAGGUGCUCUUCAAGUAGGACCAGUUGGUGGAUUCAAGUUUUAGUCAUCUGAUAUAUCUUUGCCAUAAUGAUUUAAUUUAUGUCCUAUUAAAAUAGAAAUUCUCAUUGUAAUGGCUUUUUAUGUAAAUGCAACUUAUUGAAGGAGGAUGUAAAGCUCCAAUCCACACGAUUCUUUUAGUGUUCAGCUACCACAACAUGUUGGAGACAGUAGGUUCUUCUAUGGCAUCCCCUCAUUGAGUUUUCAGAAAUAUCUCAGGAACUGAAGACAAUAUACACAUAUGAGAAGAAAGCGCGGGCUUCAUUUCCAAGUGUUUGGUACCACUAGCAUCUUUAAAUAUGUAAUCCUAAUCGUGUAUCAAAGUGGUUUUCAUAUUCUUUCUUGGAUAUAACAAGGUAAAGGUCUCAACUCUCAAGAUGUUGUCCCAGAUUGCAUUUAAUAAUAGCAAUAUUUGCUGGGAGGAGCUGGAGUAGAAGAGAAAGCAUGGGCAGUUACCAGUCAUCAUGGUUGCCAUUAAGCCACAUUAAAUAUUGAUGAUCUUGAAUUGACUAUCGGAAAUGGAUCAUCUCCAGUUUUUUCAACACUUGACAAAAUACAGUGCAAUCUCUCACCUUUGAUUUUAAUAGUGGGACCAGAAAUAAAUAAGAGAGAGAGAGUGUUGAAUGGUUAGAUUAAACACUGCAUACCAUCCAGUUUUUUAUUCACUAGAGAGGAUCCACUCCCAUUGACUAUCUUUGUUUGAGCAAACAAUUCAGGCUAUAUAGCUUGGAAAUAAGAAUAAAUUUUGAUGCACAUCCAGUAGGAUAUACACAAGACUGCAUCAUUGUAUUGCUAACUUGAAUGUUUCACUAAAUUAAAGCUAAAUCUUA